rnacentral:rRNA from 1 species
UAGGGAAACUUCGGCAAUGGGGGCAACCCUGACCGAGCAACGCCGCGUGAGUGAAGAAGGUUUUCGGAUCGUAAAGCUCUGUUGUAAGAGAAGAACGUGUGUGAGAGUGGAAAGUUCACACAGUGACGGUAACUUACCAGAAAGGGACGGCUAACUACGUGCCAGCAGCCGCGGUAAUACGUAGGUCCCGAGCGUUGUCCGGAUUUAUUGGGCGUAAAGCGAGCGCAGGCGGUUUAAUAAGUCUGAAGUUAAAGGCAGUGGCUUAACCAUUGUUCGCUUUGGAAACUGUUACACUUGAGUGCAGAAGGGGAGAGUGGAAUUCCAUGUGUAGCGGUGAAAUGCGUAGAUAUAUGGAGGAACGCCGGUGGCGAAAGCGGCUCUCUGGUCUGUAACUGACGCUGAGGCUCGAAAGCGUGGGGAGCAAACAGG